UAAGACCCCUUGAAGACGACGAGGUUGAUAGGCUGGGGGUGGAAGUGCAGCAAUGCAUGGAGCUGACCAGUACUAAUCGGUCGAGGGCUUAUCCAA
rnacentral:rRNA from 1 species